UCUCUACUAGUUGUCCCUAUGUAAUACUAGAUGGGUCAAUGCCCGUGAUGGAAUGUUUUCCACUCCAAGAAAGUGUAGUGGUCUUCCUCUCCGCUCUAGAUACUGAUGGUGGAAGCCUGAAUACAGCUGCAAACAUGAACGUCAAGGGAACUGUCAAUAUAGGGAAGAAUUGAUCAUCUUGCAUUACAUAGGAGGAGAUUAUCUUCAAGUAACUUGUAGUAACCCGCAUGGUUGCAUAUUAUAAUCAGUCCUUUACUAUGUACUUAGAAGGAAAAUAAUCUUCUAACAUCUGUUAAUAAAUCUUUUAUUUGGAGAUGGACUAUGUUUUAGCCAAAUUGAUGUACUAUUUUUCAGGAAAUAGAGAUACUUAAGUGGUUUCUCAUUAAUUCUAACCUUUCUUCCAAGGCAACCGCAAUUCGUCUAACUGUUGUAUCAAGAAAAAAUGGAUUUCUUACCUCAUAGACCAGCCAUGUGCAACCUGCUAGUGGAUGGUCAUGAGGACUAUGCUACUACUUUUAGCAAUGUCUUGAACUUUUCCAACAACCCUAAAAGCACUUGAGAAUCAAUAUCAAAUGUAGGUUCAUCAAGAAACAACAGAGAUAAUGUUAUAUCUAUAACAGGUUAUCUUAAAUACUUCGACUGAUAGUAGCCCCCAAGGCCUAGCUCAAGUGGCAGAAGGUGGAGGAUUUGUGGCUUAGGUCGCAGGUUCAAGCCCCACACCAUGCAAAGCGAAGCCCGGUAUUUAAGUGGAGAAGGGUAGAGGGGCGGGCCCAUUAUCCACCGAGUUUAGAAGGCUGUGAUUGGUCCAAAGGGCGGGUCACAGACGGAUUUCUCGGUUAUAAAAAAAAAAUAAAAAAAAAUACUUCGACUGAUAGUAGAACUUUUUCAGAUGUGUGGAUGAAAAAUGAAGAAAUCAGUGAGAUUUGGUUUCAUCACAUAUUUUGACCAACAAAUAGACAAACUUUUGCCGUCACUGGUGCAAAAUAUAAAUUUGAACUAACCUUGCCUCUCAGCGCAGCAUAUAGAAGGGCUCCAAAGCCACCUUCUUCAGUCUUAUUCAAAAUGCUGAAGUCAUACGAAAAAUCCAGACUUGUCCACAUGUAUGCCCAAAAGACGUUGUUGAAGCAUCAUCAUCAAAGUCAGUGACUUAGACCUUACUGAGAAGACAGGAUGGUAAUAAACUUAUAGACAGAGCAAUCACUCCCCAAUAUUGAUUUGUUAAUUACAGAAUAAAGACAAAUUAAACAACCUUCGGAAGACAAUCAAUAAGUAAAGAGACAUGUAGCGUUUAGAUGACCAAUACAAGUACAACAAUCCCUUUAAUAGUGAUUUUAUUACUGCCAAUAUGUAUGCAAUUUGUUAGUUCAUCUGAGAAACCAUUGGACACAAAUGAGAGGAAGCAAGACACCAACCAUGAAGUUAAAGUUUAAUAGUGAAUGAGAGUAAGUGGCUAUUCUAAAGAGCAUGGUUGAAAGAAUCUUCGGAAGAAUUUUUUUGUGAAAAAAAGCACUUCAACUAGCAGCUUCACUCAGAGGGUAAUUUGAACUUGAUAAAAUAAGUAUCCAUGGAUAAAAUAGGAUUUACAAAUAGAAGAUCCAUGACACCAACGACAUUUUAUAAUGCCUAUCGAUAUAUUGUAAUUCUUUCACUUGUUGUCCAUCAACUACACCUUUCAGCCUGAUCUUAGUCCCUGACUCACUCUCAAUGGACGAACCUUGCAGAGGAACACUUAGUUUUUCGGGGCGUUGGAUUUUCCCCAAUAAUGUUUGUGUUGCCAAGAUAACAUUUUACUAAAUCGUAUGGAUAUGUAAAAUAUAGGAUAUCCAAUCCUAGCAGGAAAGGGAAGGAAACAAAUACCCAAUUUAAAGUGAGUGAAUAUAAUUUCAUACUCCAUCUCAUAGAUACAUAUAGAGUGGAAAUUUGUAUUCGAUAAAAAUAUUAGGUGACUUUUGAAAGUAGUGAAUACUUGAUAAAACUGUUGAAAUGUGCACAUGCUAGUCCAGACAGGCUGACAUUGUCAUUAAGAAAAAUAAUAGGCAAACUAAGAGAAGUUAAGAGGGAAUAUUAUAAGCUUUCAAUUCUGCGUAAAUUCAAUGUCAACUUGAUGGAAAAAAUCAGGUGGUUCUUUAGGGAGAAAAAGUCAUCUAUAUUUGGUCGGUGAAAUUGCAACUUGGAAUAGUUUGUAUUAUCAUAGUGAGUAAUAUUCACUUUUUUGUGCUUUAUAUAUCAAUUGACCAAUUAUAAAAUUAUCUGCUCAGUAUGUGGUAUGCCAUUGUUGUCAAUUGAGUUUCCGCUGCCAGCAUCUUUCCUCAUAUUGAUUCCAAUUCUUCUUACUCAUCUACAAACAACUCACACAAAAAUCUCUAAACCUUCCACCAGGACCUCCAUCAUGGCCAUUGCUAGGAAAUAUUCUCCAGAUUGGAAAAAAUCCUCAUAUUUCCCUGGCACAAUUUGCCAAAAUUCAUGGGCCCUUAAUUUCUGUCAGGCUGGGGACUCAACUGGUUGUGGUAGCUUCAUCCCCUGAUUCCGCAGCUGAAAUCCUCAAAACUCAAGAUUGUCUUCUCUCAGCCCGGUCUGUGCCCAGCGUUGCUCCAUAUAAACUCUCUCUUAUUGAUCAACACUCAAUUGUUUGGUCCAGUGAUUUGAGCAAUCACUGGAAGUUCUUAUGCGCAUUUUGUCGGACACAUUUGUUCUCACCUAAAGCGGUAGAGUCACAGGCUGCUCUCAGAAAGAAAAAAAGUGUCUGAAAUGAUAUAUUUUCUUAGCUCCAAGAAAGGGGAAACUGUGAAAAUUUCUGAAACUGUUUGGUACCAUUUUAAAACGUUAGGGAACCUUUUUUUUCAAAAGAUUUAUGUGAUUUGGAUUAUGAAACGAAAACCAGUGGGAUCAAACUUGUUAUUAGAAAAUUGCUAGAGUUGGGAGCUAUGCCAAAUAUAUCAGAUUUCUAUCCUCUCUGGAUAUUCAGGAAUUGAGAAAGCAGACUGAAAUAUAUCAAAAAUGAUUGAGACUGAUAUGGUACAAUCUUAUUCUUCAAUUUCAGGAAUUAAUUAUUGCAGGUUCUGACACCACUUCCUCAACAAUUGAAUGGACAAUGACAGAAUUGCUAAGGAACAAAAGCGCUAUGCACAAACUUCAAGCUGAGCUUACAAGCAAGACCGGAGAAACUGAUAUAAUCACAGAAUCAAACAUCAGUGAACUUCCAUAUUUGGCUGCUUGUGUCAAGGAAACAUUGAGAAUCCAUCUGCCUACUCCCUUCUUGAUUCUUCGUCGUGCUCCUGAGACGUGUAAGAUUAUGGAUUACUCCAUCCCAAAGAACUCGAGGUUAUUUGUGAAUGUUUGGGCAAUAGGGCGCGACUCUAAAACAUGGGAAGAUGCAUUAUGUUUCCGGGCUGAGUGGUUUCUUGACUCGAAUGUAGACUUGAGGGGUCAAUAUUUUGAGUUCAUACCAUUUGGUGCAGGGAGGAGAAUAUGCCCUGACUUACCCUUUGCUAGACAAGAAGUUCACUUGAUUUUAGCUAGUUUGAUCCAUCACUUUAAGUGGUCACUACCCAAUGAUGAGGAUCCAAAGCAGUUAGAUAUGAAAGAAAAGUUUGGUGUUACUCUACAGAAAGAAAAGUCUCUACUGGUUGUUCCUAUAUAAUAUGUGUAUCUUUUUUUCCCUCCCCAUAUACCAUAUGUACCUUCACUUACAGAUUGUUAUAGCAAUGGUUUGAUAGAUUGCAUUAUUUUCUAUUGUUACAUAAUGUCACAUAUAUAAUUUGAAUGAUAAACAUACGAGAAAAGUAGAGUAUAAAAUAGAGCUAUUAUAAAAAGGUAGGGUAAAAGAUAAAAUAUGAUUAUUGAAUUAAUAAUAAGUAAAGAUAAAAUAAGAAGAAAAUAUUAAGGUAACUAUGUGAUUACAUCAAAUCGGUUGAUAUGCAAAAUGAAACUUUUUGUUAUUAUCUAACAAUGCAUUUAAUGAUACGAUACAAAAAAUUUAAAUAGCAAUCAAAACAAGCAUUAUAUUUAAACUAAUAGUACAAUACAAUACAACGGGUACCAAUCAUCCAAACAAGGUAUUUUUUUAAAUGGAGGGAGUGCAAUUAGUUGCACAUUAUUUAAUUAAUAAUACAAAAUAGCUAAAGGGUCAAUUUCAAAUAUAUACAAUAUAGUAAUUAGUUUACAAUAGAUAUAGUCAUGCUUUAUUUACCUAAAAAAAUUGUUAAAAGUCAAAAAAAAAAAAAGUAAUAACACAAACUAUACAAUAUAGUUUGCAAAGUAAAAAAAAAAAAUACACAUUGACUACACAGCAUGGCUUACCUAUCAAACUAUUCAUGAAGUAUACACUAACUAUACAUAAAGUUACACUGACUAUUCAAUCUCGAUCAACUCAAAAUCACCUCUAAAUAGUUUCAAAUUUUAGAUAUGAAAUUUUCUCAAUGUUUUAAGUUUUUUGAUAUAAAAAUUCAUUCGAAAUAAUUCAUGUUUACGAUAGGCUGAAUUUUUUUAAUUUUUUUAAAAGAAUAAGAAUAAUGAAGAAGAAGAAGAACAGCAGAAAAAGAAUAAGAAUAGAAAAGACCAAUAGAAGAAGAAUGAAGAAUAGUAGAAGAAGAAGAACGUUUUUCAAACAUAUUUGGCUGAAAGGAGUCCCUUAUAAAGUGUCAUUCUUUAUAUGGAGUUUGUGGAAGCAAAGGAUCCCUAUUGGAGAAGUGCUGGUGAAGAACAGAAUGCCUGAUAAUGUGAUAUGUGUUUGUUGUAGACGGGGGGUCUCAGAGUCUAUAGAACAUUUAUUCAUACAUUGUAACUUUUCUAGUAGACUAUGGGCUAUUAUUGCAGCUGCAACAGGGAUUGAUGGUCCUUUCAUUCAAUUGAAAGACACAUUACUGAAGUGUUGGAAGGCAGAGAUGACACCCAAGCUUAAAUACAUAUACAAGACAGUACUUCUGUUCAUUUUGUGGCAAAUUUGGAAAAGAAGAAACAUUAUCAAACAUGGUGGGAAGAUGACACAAUCUACUAUGACUUUGGAGAUUGGGAGAAACUUACACCUAUGGCAAGAUGUUUAUAUCCUUGGUUGAAGGACAUAACAACUUCUUGGCUUAUGCUAGUGAAGUUCAUGGAAGAUUACACUCUUAUUCUAGUUUAUAAGGUGGUGAAAUGGAUUAAGCCUACAAUUGGUUUUAAAUGUAAUUCUGAUGGUGCUUUUAAAGGAAAUCCAGGGCCUAGUUUUGGAGCCUUUUGCAUUAGGGAUGUGGAAGGUAACUUUGUAUAUGUUGAAGUAAAGAGGCUGGAGGAAAAUAACAAUUUAAAGGCAGAGAUCAGUGCUAUCAAAAUGGGACUGGAAUUUUGCAUUGCAAAAGAAUUACUUCAUGUUACUCUUGAAACAGAUUCCCUUACUAUGAAGAAGAUGAUAGAGGGGGAAUGAGAGGUCGCAUGAAGUGUAUCAGAAAAAUAAGGUACUUAAUGAAGGAAAGAGAGAUUGUGGUUGAUCACAUUUUCAGAGAAGGCAACAAGGUUGCGGAUUUUUUAGCUAACUAUGUUUUCUAUUUUGCAGGUACACAAAGUGUUACAUUCUCAACUUUUCGGGAACUACCAAAUGAGGUGAAAGUUCUAGUAAGCAUGGAUAAAGCAGGGGCAGCAAACUUGAGAUUCAGAAAAAUACAAAACAGAAAUUAUGGUUACUGUGAUAAGAAUUCUAAUGCACAAUAAGGAAACACCAACAGUAGCUUAAGGAAAAGCACAGAGACAAGAAAACAUAAUGGGGCGCACAAAUCAUACAAAUAUGAAUCUUCAGUGCUGCAAUGAUUUACAAGAACGAUCUUUUAGCAAAAUGGAUAGGAUUUACCUGGCCUAUGCAGUGGUAUUAGUUAGUUUCUGGCUCAAUCUGCAAGAAAGGGUAAAUCUUAGAAAUGGAGUUCAAGGAUCAGAUAUCUGCUUAAUUGCGAGUUAAGAAGUAGAUCGAUUCAUACCUGCGUUGCUCAAGCUGUGUUGAAGAGUUAUUCAAUGGGAGUCGUUUCCAUGUCAUUCGUGAGAUUUAGAGUGUACUGAGUGGAAACGAUCCAAACUCAGCUAGUUGCAGCCAUAUAUGAAUCAAUUUCUCUAAAAGGAAUACGUUGCUUCUUCGUCCUCCAUGGCAGGUGAAUCUCAAGCAAGAAGAAGAUCAGUUCUAGUUUAGUUUUCCCUUUCCUUUUUUGGUUUUCUUAACUUUCU
rnacentral:lncRNA from 1 species